rnacentral:tRNA from 1 species
GCGGGCAUAGCUCAGUUGGUAGAGUACAAGCUUCCCAAGCUUGAUGCCGCGAGUUCGAAUCUCGCUGCCCGCUCCA